GACGAACCGUGCGAACGUUGUUCGGAAUCACUGGGCUUAAAGGGCGCGUAGGCGGGCUGCCAAGUCUGGGGUGAAAUCCCACGGCUCAACCGUGGAACUGCCUCAGAUACUGGCGGCCUCGAGGAGGGUAGGGGCAUGCGGAACUAUGCGUGGAGCGGUGAAAUGCGUUGAUAUGCAUAGGAACUCCGGUGGCGAAGGCGGCGUGCUGGACCCUUCUGACGCUGAGGCGCGAAAGCCAGGGGAGCGAACGGG
rnacentral:rRNA from 1 species